AUGAAAAUCAGGAUUUUGGAAAAGCAUUGGUAUCACGGCCACAUACAACUGACGAGGAAUUGGUGUUUUGAACGGUCAAUUCACAGGAAAAGAGGAAAGCAUAAUAUGGGGUUCUAUCCAAAUUCCCUAAUUCAGGUGCCUCUGAGGGGAAACGCGCAGCAAUCAGGCAAGAAAGUUCAGUGCUAUGAGCCUGCUACUAUGAAAUAUUUGGGAUAUGUUCCUGCUUUGACACCAGAUGAGAUUUUUUUGCAAAGUGACAUGCUUUAA